GACGAACGCUGGCGGCGUGCUUAACACAUGCAAGUCGAACGGAAAGGCCUGCUUUCCCUUGUGGAUUGCGGGUACUCGAGUGGCGAACGGGUGAGUAACACGUGAGUGAUCUGCCCCCAACUUGGGUAUAAGCCUGGGAAACUGGGUCUAAUUCCCGAUAGGACUGCAGGGUGGUGCCUGUGGUGGAAAACGAUUUUCUAGUGGUUGGGGAUGAGCUCGCGGCCUAUCAGCUUGUUGGUGGGGUAAUGGCCUACCAAGGCGGCGACGGGUAGCCGGCCUGAGAGGGUGGACGGCCACAUUGGGACUGAGAUACGGCCCAGACUCCUACGGGAGGCAGCAGUGGGGAAUAUUGCACAAGGGGCGGAAGCCUGAUGCAGCGACGCCGCGUGGGGGAUGACGGCCUUCGGGUUGUAAACUCCUUUCGACCGCGAGGAAGCCACCUAGUUGGAAGGGUGGUGACGGUAGUGGUAGAAGAAGCACCGGCUAACUACGUG
rnacentral:rRNA from 1 species